CCUACGGGAGACAGCAGUGAGGAAUAUUGGUCAAUGGGCGAGAGCCUGAACCAGCCAAGUCGCGUGAGGGAAGACGGCCCUACGGGUUGUAAACCUCUUUUGCCGGGGAGCAACGGGCGCCACGCGUGGCGCCACUGAGAGUCCCCGGAGAAAAAGCAUCGGCAAACUCCGUGCCAGCAGCCGGGGUAAUACGGAGGUUGCGGGCGUUAUCCGGUUUUAUUGGGUUUAAGGGGUGCGUAGGCGGAGCGUCAAGUCGGGGGUAAAAUUGAGGGGCUCAACCCCUGCCCGCCAUUGAAACUGGGUCUCUUGAGUGGACGAGAAGUACGCGGAAUGCGUGGUGUAGCGGUGAAAUGCAUAGAUAUCACGCAGAACCCCGAUUGCGAAGGCAGCGUGCCGGCGUCCUACUGACGCUGAUGCACGAAAGCGUGGGGAUCGAACAGGAUUAGAUACCCCUGUAGUC
rnacentral:rRNA from 1 species